CCUACGGGGUGCAGCAGUGAGGAAUAUUGGUCAAUGGACGAGAGUCUGAACCAGCCAAGUAGCGUGAAGGAUGACUGCCCUAUGGGUUGUAAACUUCUUUUAUAUGGGAAUAAAAUGUUCCAUGUGUGGGAUUUUGUAUGUACCAUAUGAAUAAGGAUCGGCUAACUCCGUGCCAGCAGCCGCGGUAAUACGGAGGAUCCGAGCGUUAUCCGGAUUUAUUGGGUUUAAAGGGAGCGUAGGUGGAUUGUUAAGUCAGUUGUGAAAGUUUGCGGCUCAACCGUAAAAUUGCAGUUGAAACUGGCAGUCUUGAGUACAGUAGAGGUGGGCGGAAUUCGUGGUGUAGCGGUGAAAUGCUUAGAUAUCACGAAGAACUCCGAUUGCGAAGGCAGUUCACUGGACUGCAACUGACACUGAGGCUCGAAAGUGUGGGUAUCAAACAGGAUUAGAUACCCGUGUAGUC
rnacentral:rRNA from 1 species